UGGGAAGUUUGUUUUCUAGGUCUAGU
rnacentral:piRNA from 1 species